CCUCCGUUGGUGAACCAGCGGAGGGAUCAUUACUGGAAUCGCAAGAUCCCACAACCCUGUGAACCUACCGAAACGUUGCCUCGGCGGGUGCCCGGCCUCUGCGCCGGGCGCUGCGCCCGCCGGCGGCCCCCUACUCUGUCUCUGCAGCGUGGCAUCUCAGAGUCCCAGAAAACAAGUCAAAACUUUCAACAACGGAUCUCUUGGCUCUA
rnacentral:misc_RNA from 1 species